GCUGUUUGCGGGUGGUCGGUAGUGAGUCCGGAGCCGGACAGGACCUCCCAGAGGCAUUUCCUAAGUUUGAGGGAAGCGGGAUGCGCCUGAAGACAGGUGGGAAGCGCGGGCUAGGAACGCGUCUCUCUGUGGCGCGUCCAUCCUUGCUAAAGUGGAUGGAAUUCCAGACCUGGGAAUGCUACAGUAGAGACACUGAGGCCCAGGGAAGGGGAGUGACUUGCUGGAGUAACCCAACCAGUAGGCGGCAAUGCUGGAAGUAGGGCCAAGCUUCCAACGCCAUUCCCCGCGCUUUCAGCAGACGCAGCCCAUUCAGGAGGUAAAAGGAGUAAAGAUCCUUCCUUCGGAGGAUGUAGCUAUACUUGCACAUUCACAGCAUCACUAGGGUCAGGUGCAGAUAAUUAGGAGAUACUUUCAGAAGAAGGUAGGAUUUGGCAUAAUUCUGGAGACUGAUCAGAUGUAGAUAUGUAUUGCUCAGUAAUUUCAUAAUAGCGGUAACCAAUUCGCGAAUAGUGCUUUAUUAUCCUAAAAGUAUGCUUUAUUAUAAGAGUAAUUUAGCGACCAGUACUUUUUGUAACAGAUCACUAGGAACUUGCACAGAAUCACUCAUUCAUUCUCACAACACCGUGUGGGUAUUACCAUCACAGAGAUGCAUUUAGUCCGAUAUUUAUAGAAGGACGAACUGCGUGCCACGCACUGUUCUAGGCGUUGGGGAUCCAGCGUGAACCAGACAAGGCCCGCAUUCGGAGAAACCAGCAAAUAAGCCCGGAGAGAUGAAAUGCCAGGGAUGGGCAGGGAUUCCAAGCCGGGCUUGAACCCAGGUCUUCGGUCCCCAUACUCGGCGUCUUCCACGAUUUUGAGCAGAGGACAAGCUUUGGCACGAAUCAGAAAUUAGGUUGAAGAACUGGGCGGGGCGGAGUGGGGGUGGGGGUCAGACGUUUAAAGCGAUCUCAGACUGGCUGAGGUUUGCAGUGGGCGCGCA
rnacentral:lncRNA from 10 species